AUUGAACGCUGGCGGCAUGCCUUUCACAUGCAAGUCGAACGGCAGCGCGGGAGCAAUCCUGGCGACGAGUGGCGAACGGGUGCGUAACACGUGGAUAACAUUCCGGAAAGCGGGGAAUAGCCCAGGGAAACUUGGAUUAAUACCGCAUGUGGCCGCAAGGCUAAGGACGGGGACCGCAAGGCCUGUCACUUUCCGAUUGGUCCGCGGCCUAUCAGCUAGUUGGCGGGGUGAUGGCCCACCAAGGCUACGACGGGUAGCUGGUCUUAUAGGACGACCAGCCACACUGGAACUGAGACACGGUCCAGACUCCUACGGGAGGCAGCAGUGGGGAAUUUUGGACAAUGGACGCAAGUCUGAUCCAGCCAUUCCGCGUGCAGGAUGAAGGCCCUCGGGUUGUAAACUGCUUUUGUACGGAACGAAAAGGUCUCUCUUAAUACGGGGGACUCAUGACGGUACCGUAAGAAUAAGCACCGGCUAACUACGUGCCAGCCGCCGCAGUAA
rnacentral:rRNA from 1 species